rnacentral:rRNA from 1 species
GACGAACCGUGCGAACGUUGUUCGGAAUCACUGGGCUUAAAGGGCGCGUAGGCGGUCCAUCCAGUCGGGGGGUGAAAUCUUGCAGCUUAACUGCAAAAGUGCCUUCGAUACUGAUGGACUCGAGGGAGGUAGGGGCAGGUGGAACUUCCAGUGGAGCGGUGAAAUGUGUUGAUAUUGGAAGGAACGCCGGUGGCGAAAGCGACCUGCUGGAUCUCUUCUGACGCUGAGGCGCGAAAGCUAGGGGAGCAAACGGGG